rnacentral:lncRNA from 1 species
AUGAAAACCAGGAACCAGGCUGUACCUACAGUCAUACCCCACAGUGGAUCACAACCAGGAACUGGGGCUGUACCUACAGUCAUACCCCACAGUGGAUCACAACCACGAACUGGGGCUGUACCUACUGCCAUACCCCACAGUGGAUCACAACCAGGAACGAGGGCUGUACCUGCAGUCAUACCCCACAGUGGAUCACAACCAGAACCAGGGCUGUGCCUACUGCCAUACCCCACAGUGGAUCACAACCAGGAACCGGGGCUAUACCUACAGUUAUACCCCACAGUGGAUCACAACCAGGAACCAGGGCUGUGCCUACUGCCAUACCCCACAGUGGAUCACAACCACGAACUGGGGCUGUACCUACUGCCAUACCCCACAGUGGAUCACAACCAGGAACGAGGGCUGUACCUGCAGUCAUACCCCACAGUGGAUCACAACCAGAACCAGGGCUGUGCCUACUGCCAUACCCCACAGUGGAUCACAACCAGGAACCGGGGCUAUACCUACAGUUAUACCCCACAGUGGAUCACAACCAGGAACCAGGGCUGUACACACUACAGCCAUACCCUACAGUGGAUCACAACCAGGAACUGGGCUGUACCUGCAGUCAUACCCCACAGUGGAUCACAACCAGGAACCAGGGCUGUACACACUACAGCCAUACCCUACAGUGGAUCACAACCAGGAACUGGGGCUGUACCUGCAGUCAUACCCCACAGUGGAUCACAACCAGGAACCGGGCUGUACCUGCAGUCAUACCCCACAGUGGAUCACAACCAGAACCAGGGCUGUACCUCCUCUGUUGGUCAGAAUGCAAGCAGAGAAACAGAACCAUGGAGACACAGAGCUGUAGAGACUUGUAGGAGCUGGUUCCACACUCUCUGUAAGGCUGUUCCCUCCAUGUUGGCCACUGGAACUUCUUGUCCACAGGGCAGGCAGUCAGAGAGGAGACUAGAUGUGACGUGGAGAAGAGCACGGGCAAGCUGGAGCCUGUAUCAGUCUCUCGCUGACUCCAACCUUAGGCAAGUGGGCAGUCUUCGUGAAAAGCUGAUGCCUUUCAUCUGGAGACCAAAUACACACCUGGCCAGGAGGGUUGAGAAGCCGAGGGAGUAUCCGCCUGCUGCUCCCUGCAAAGACAGGAGCCAGCAGACGCGGGACAACAUGCAUUAG